CUUUGCUCAGUGUUCUGACUUAUGAACAUCUGAAUGAUUAGUAAUCUAACCUC
ensembl:snoRNA